rnacentral:rRNA from 1 species
GACGAACGCUGGCGGCGUGCUUAACACAUGCAAGUCGAACGGAAAGGCCCCCUUGUGGGGUACUCGAGUGGCGAACGGGUGAGUAACACGUGAGUAACCUACCCUUUUCUUUGGGAUAACUUCAGGAAACUGGGGCUAAUACCGGAUAGGAGCUCCUGCUGCAUGGUGGGGGUUGGAAAGUUUCGGCGGUUGGUGAUGGGCUCGCGGCUUAUCAGCUUGUUGGUGGGGUAGUGGCUCACCAAGGCUUUGACGGGUAGCCGGCCUGAGAGGGUGACCGGCCACAUUGGGACUGAGAGACGGCCCAGACUGCAACGGGAGGCAGCAGUGGGGAAUAUUGCACAAUGGGCGGAAGCAUGAUGCAGCAACGCAGCGGGCGGGAUGACGGCCUUCGGGUUGUAAACCGCAUUCGCCUGUGACGAAGCGUGAGUGACGGUAAUGGGUAAAGAAGCACCGGCUAACUACGUG